GUGUGAACAGACACUGUUGGACAGAUGGUUGGAGUUUAGUCCCUUCCUUCGGGACUCUCCACCACUCCGGCUUCACUUCUCCUGCCCAGCCCUGUCCUGGGUGCACAGAGAGGGAAGUCACUCCAUUCCUGCCCUUGAGGAGCUCCCAGACCCGGGGCAGGAGCGGGAUGCAGACAACUAGACAGCACCCUGGGCCGUGCAAGGAAUGUACUACAGAGCCAAUUUUACUGGCAAAGGAAUGGAGGAUCUGAAAGGCUAGGGGAUCCCACAGGCAGUGAGGAGCAGGUCUGGAAUUUGAACCAAUCGGCAUGAUUCCCACGCUCAAGCUUUUGGCCACCGUCCGCACUGCCAGGGACAGAAAAAAAAAACCUGAGAGGAGAGCCAAGCCAAGCUGGGGAGUCAGGACCUCCCAGCCAGGUCUGGAUGGGAGGCUGCGGGAAGAGGCUUUGCCCAGCAAUAGUCCUGAUCUGAUGGCUGCUUGAAGCACAAUAAACAGAUAGUAUUUCUGCACAUGUCACUCUGAGUAUGAGGGCAGUAAUCUUGAAACUCCCCGUGACCACCUGGCACUCUGGAGAUGGAACUCCGCAGCCUGUUUUCAAAGCCAGUUCCUGGUUGGAAGCUCCUCUUCAAGUCUAACAGAAGGACAACUGACGGCAGAGCUGGGAGGAAAUGUGGCCUCGUGAAAGGAGAAUCAGAUCCGGCAGCCAGAAGCUUCCCACCAGGAGGCAGAAAAGGAAGAGGGGGCUGUGUGUGCCCUAGCAGAGGCCUGACCCUCUAGGAACCUCUGUCUCUCCUUCAGUGAGUGGAGAAGCUGGGCUGGCUGCUGGCCUAGUUUUGCCCUCUGGUCUAAUCAAGGAAGACUUCCCAGAAGAGGAGGAACCUUGGCUGGGUCAAGAAAAAACAAUGGGCAGAGUUUAAACGGGCAGAGGUGGGGUGAAAAGGCAUGAGUCACAGAAAGCCAUGUAAGCAAAAGCCUAGAGUAGAAAUCACAAGCUGUAGUUCAUUAAGUUGAAGCCCUGAGAGGGGAGGUGACUUGUCUCAAGACACACAGAAAGGCAGGGAUAGGCCUACAGCAAAGCUGCUGCUCCCCCAUCCCCAGGCCUCUUCCCUCUACUGCUGUCUGCAUCCUAAACCCAAUGAGGUGAGAAGAGAUUAUUUCCAUUUAAGAUGAGUCUUCCCCAGUGGUACUUGGUGAAGCCUUAGAAUAGCAAAAGAAUGGUCAUAACAUGGAACAAGGGGGCUGUGACACGUUGAGGCAAGUGGCAAAGGGAGACCUUUGGGACAAGGUGGAUGGCCUCCUACCUUCUGGCCCCACUUCUCUGGAUCUGGGAAUUAUCCUGGGUAAGUCCAUCUCAGAUUAUCACCCAGGACAGAGACAGAAGCUGUUCCCAUAAGGCCAACAGUCACAGAGGUGAGGGGCCUCCAGGUUCCGCCAGCCAGGCAAGGCGUGCCUCCCCUCUGCCCUGCUCCUACUAGGACCCAGUUUCCUGAUCCUCCCGUCCCUACCCCGACUCCCACUCCAGGACUGGGCAUUGGGCGAGGCAGGCAUAGGCAAGGACUGGGCUGUCCUCCAGCUCUGCCG
ensembl:lncRNA